rnacentral:rRNA from 1 species
UACGAAGGGGGCUAGCGUUGUUCGGAAUUACUGGGCGUAAAGCGCGCGCAGGCGGUCUUCCAAGUCAGUGGUGAAAGCCCGGAGCUCAACUCCGGAACUGCCAUUGAGACUGUAAGACUUGAGGAUGAGAGAGGUGAGUGGAAUUCCCAGUGUAGAGGUGAAAUGUGUAGAGAUCGGGAGGAACACCGGUGGCGAAGGCGGGUCUCUGGGCAAUUCCUGACGCUGA